rnacentral:rRNA from 1 species
GAUGAACGCUGGCGGCGUGCCUAAUACAUGCAAGUCGAGCGAACGGACGAGAAGCUUGCUUCUCUGAUGUUAGCGGCGGACGGGUGAGUAACACGUGGAUAACCUACCUAUAAGACUGGGAUAACUUCGGGAAACCGUAGCUAAUACCGGAUAAUAUUUUGAACCGCAUGGUUCAAAAGUGAAAGACGGUCUUGCUGUCACUUAUAGAUGGAUCCGCGCUGCAUUAGCUAGUUGGUAAGGUAACGGCUUACCAAGGCAACGAUGCAUAGCCGGCCUGAGAGGGUGAUCGGCCACACUGGAACUGAGACACGGUCCAGACUCCUACGGGAGGCAGCAGUAGGGAAUCUUCCGCAAUGGGCGAAAGCCUGACGGAGCAACGCCGCGUGAGUGAUGAAGGUCUUCGGAUCGUAAAACUCUGUUAUUAGGGAAGAACAUAUGUGUAAGUAACUGUGCACAUCUUGACGGUACCUAAUCAGAAAGCCACGGCUAACUACGUGCCAGCAGCCGCGGUAAUACGUAGGUGGCAAGCGUUAUCCGGAAUUAUUGGGCGUAAAGCGCGCGUAGGCGGUUUUUUAAGUCUGAUGUGAAAGCCCACGGCUCAACCGUGGAGGGUCAUUGGAAACUGGAAAACUUGAGUGCAGAAGAGGAAAGUGGAAUUCCAUGUGUAGCGGUGAAAUGCGCAGAGAUAUGGAGGAACACCAGUGGCGAAGGCGACUUUCUGGUCUGUAACUGACGCUGAUGUGCGAAAGCGUGGGGAUCAAACAGGAUUAGAUACCCUGGUAGUCCACGCCGUAAACGAUGAGUGCUAAGUGUUAGGGGGUUUCCGCCCCUUAGUGCUGCAGCUAACGCAUUAAGCACUCCGCCUGGGGAGUACGACCGCAAGGUUGAAACUCAAAGGAAUUGACGGGGACCCGCACAAGCGGUGGAGCAUGUGGUUUAAUUCGAAGCAACGCGAAGAACCUUACCAAAUCUUGACAUCCUUUGACAACUCUAGAGAUAGAGCCUUCCCCUUCGGGGGACAAAGUGACAGGUGGUGCAUGGUUGUCGUCAGCUCGUGUCGUGAGAUGUUGGGUUAAGUCCCGCAACGAGCGCAACCCUUAAGCUUAGUUGCCAUCAUUAAGUUGGGCACUCUAAGUUGACUGCCGGUGACAAACCGGAGGAAGGUGGGGAUGACGUCAAAUCAUCAUGCCCCUUAUGAUUUGGGCUACACGCGUGCUACAAUGGACAAUACAAAGGGCAGCGAAACCGCGAGGUCAAGCAAAUCCCAUAAAGUUGUUCUCAGUUCGGAUUGUAGUCUGCAACUCGACUACAUGAAGCUGGAAUCGCUAGUAAUCGUAGAUCAGCAUGCUACGGUGAAUACGUUCCCGGGUCU